rnacentral:lncRNA from 1 species
CCCCGGUUUAUGACUUCCAAGGUAGUAGUACUCUAGUGAUCUGGCUAGCGGCUGUUUUGUUGAGAUAUCUAUACACUUUCCAUUGUGGUGGUUGUGGUUCCUAGUUAGCCAAAUAUUCCAAAUAUAAAAAGGAAAAGCAAAUUCCCAAGAGAUGCUACUGUGCAUGAAGAGGUUUCCUAGAUUUUUAAGUUCCUUGAGCCAAUUUGGUUCUCUUUUAUCCAGUAUCAUCUUGAC